GGAUAUAGCUCAGUUGGUAGAGUGCUUGUCUUGCAUGCAGAAGGCCCUGGGUUCAAUCCCCAGGACCA
rnacentral:tRNA from 1 species